rnacentral:lncRNA from 1 species
UCCCUCUUUUAGCCGGAGACUUUUUCGCCAGCGAUUUCACUUUUUUAGCUUUAACACUUUUCGAUGGAGCCUUCUUGGCCGCCGGUGCCUUCUUCACUACCGGUUUUGGAGCUGGUGCCUUCCUUCCUGGUGAGGUUCUCGUCGAAGUUCUUGCAGCCUUCGCUGGCUUUUCCUUAGCUUUCGGCUUGGGAGCGGCUUUAGUCUUUGCCGCAGCUUUGGGCUUCGCCACAGCACUGCUCUUCGACUUGGCUGGAGCAGCUUUGGGUUUAGGAGCAGCUUUGGGCUUGGGAGUCGCCUUAGGCUUCGGCUUUGCAGCAGCCUUCGGCUUCGCAGGAGAUUUUGCAACAGCUUUGGGCUUAGCUACGGGUUUAGACUUCGGCUUAGCAGCUACAGGCUUCUUCUUCGCAGGAGAAGCAGGUUUCACAACUGCCGACUUCGCCGGUUUAAGCUUGAACGAACUCUUAACCUUCACCAACUUCCCGGAAGUCACAAGUUUCUUCAAAUGGAAUAACAAAAGCUUCUUAAAGUUCGGUGGAAGUUGCUUUUGCUUCUCUUCAAUAAACUUAGUGAUCGCAUACUGACUCGAACCAGUUCUUUCCUUCAACGUAACAAUCGCAUCCUUAAUCAUCUGAAAUCAAAACAUCAAACCAAAUCAACAAAACAGAUCCAAUACACGAAACAUUAAAUUCAAAAGAAAAUUCGAAUUUGAAUCAGCAACACACCUCUUCAUAUGGAGGAUGAGUUGGAGGAUUUCUUGGUUUUCUAGGAGCAGCAGGUUUCUUGUCUUUAGGUUCUUUCGACUUCUUAGACCUGCCAGACUUGUUCGCCGGAUUUUCUUCCGCUUGUUCGGCGUUAGUCGGCUCUGCCGCAGACUCCACCGGCACCACCGGUUCCUCAGUAGCCAUUGGAGUAGAAACAAGAUC